rnacentral:rRNA from 1 species
UGGGGAAUCUUGCGCAAUGGGGGAAACCCUGACGCAGCGACGCCGCGUGGGUGAUGAAGGCCUUCGGGUCGUAAAGCCCUGUCGGAGGGGAAGAAACACGGCCGGUCGAAUACACCGGUCGCCUGACGGUCCCCUCUAAGGAAGCACCGGCUAACCACGUGCCCGCAGCCGCGGUAAUACGGAGGGUGCAAGCGUUAAUCGGAAUGACUGGGCGUAAAGCGCACGCAGGCGGUCUGUUAAGCCAGAUGUGAAAGCCCCGGGCUCAACCUGGGAACUGCAUUUGGAACUGGCAGGCUAGAGUCUUGGAGAGGGGGGUAGAAUUUCCGGUGUAGCGGUGAAAUGCGUAGAGAUCGGAAGGAAUACCAGUGGCGAAGGCGGCCCCCUGGCCAAAGACUGACGCUCAGGUGCGAAAGCGUGGGGAGCAA